rnacentral:rRNA from 1 species
CCUACGGGGGGCAGCAGUGGGGAAUAUUGGACAAUGGGGGCAACCCUGAUCCAGCCAUGCCGCGUGUGUGAAGAAGGCCCUCGGGUUGUAAAGCACUUUCAGUGAGGAAGAACGCCUGGUGGUUAAUACCCAUCAGGAAAGACAUCACUCACAGAAGAAGCACCGGCUAACUCCGUGCCAGCAGCCGCGGUAAUACGGAGGGUGCGAGCGUUAAUCGGAAUUACUGGGCGUAAAGCGCGCGUAGGUGGCUUGAUAAGCCGGUUGUGAAAGCCCCGGGCUCAACCUGGGAACGGCAUCCGGAACUGUCAAGCUAGAGUGCAGGAGAGGAAGGUAGAAUUCCCGGUGUAGCGGUGAAAUGCGUAGAGAUCGGGAGGAAUACCAGUGGCGAGGCGGCCUUCUGGACUGACACUGACACUGAGGUGCGAAAGCGUGGGUAGCAAACAGGAUUAGAUACCCCAGUAGUC